GACGAACGCUGGCGGCGUGCUUAACACAUGCAAGUCGAACGGUGAAGCGCCUUCCUUUUUGGUGGGUGUGGAUGAGUGGCGAACGGGUGAGUAACACGUGAGUAACCUGCCCCCUUCUUCUGGAUAACCGCAUGAAAGUGUGGCUAAUACGGGAUAUUCUGGGUCUGUCGCAUGAUGGGUCUGGGAAAGAUAUUGUUUCGGUGGGGGAUGGGCUCGCGGCCUUUCAGCUUGUUGGUGGGUUGAUGGGCUACCAAGGCGGUGACGGGUAGCCGGCCUGGGAGGGUGGACGGCCACACUGGGAGUGAGACAAGGCCCAGACUCCUACGGGAGGCAGCAGUGGGGAAUAUUGAACAAUGGGCGCAAGCCUGAUGCAGCGACGCCGCGUGAGGGAUGGAGGCCUUCGGGUUGUGAACCUCUUUCGCCAGUGAAGCAGGCCUGCCUCGUUUGUGGGUGGGUUGACGGUAGCUGGAUAAGAAGCGCCGGCUAACUACGUG
rnacentral:rRNA from 1 species